rnacentral:rRNA from 1 species
UACCAGCACCCCGAGUGGUCGGGACGAUUAUUGGGCCUAAAGCAUCCGUAGCCGGUUUUACAAGUCCUCCGUUAAAUCCAGCUGCUUAACAGAUGGGCUGCGGAGGAUACUAUAAGACUAGGAGGCAGGAGAGGCAAGCGGUACUCAGUGGGUAGGGGUAAAAUCCGUUGAUCCAUUGAAGACCACCAGUGGCGAAGGCGGCUUGCCAGAAUGCGCUCGACGGUGAGGGAUGAGAGCUGGGGGAGCAAACCGG